GCAGUUGAAAUCGUUGGAGGCGGUUGUCCUAGAGGGUUUAGAAAACUUCUGGAUUCUUGUUACCUGAUCAAGAAAGAUAGAGUGUCAGCAGACACAGCAUUUGCCAAUUGUUUAAAAGCUGGUGGGUAUUUGGCCAACUUUGAAACUCUCGAG